GAUGAAGAACGUAGCGAAAUGCGAUAAGUAAUGUGAAUUGCAGAAUUCAGUGAAUCAUCGAAUCUUUGAACGCACAUUGCGCCCGCCAGUAUUCUGGCGGGCAUGCCUGUUCGAGCGUCAUGUCAACCAUCAAGCCCUGCUUGCGUUGGGGUCCUGCGGCUGCCCGCAGGCCCUGAAAACCAGUGGCGGGCUCGCUAGUCACACCGAGCGCAGUAAUACAUCUCGCUUUGGGCGUGCGGCGGGUUCUUGCCGUUAAACACCCCCUUUUUACCAAGGUUGACCUCGGAUCAGGUAGGAAUACCCGCUGAACUUAAGCAUAUCAAUAAGCGGAGGA
rnacentral:misc_RNA from 1 species